rnacentral:rRNA from 1 species
AGCGAACGCUGGCGGUAGGCCUAACACAUGCAAGUCGAACGGCAGCACAGGAGAGCUUGCUCUCUGGGUGGCGAGUGGCGGACGGGUGAGGAAUACAUCGGAAUCUACUUUUUCGUGGGGAUAACGUAGGGAAACUUACGCUAAUACCGCAUACGACCUACGGGUGAAAGCAGGGGACCUUCGGGCCUUGCGCGAUUGAAUGAGCCGAUGUCGGAUUAGCUAGUUGGCGGGGUAAAGGCCCACCAAGGCGACGAUCCGUAGCUGGUCUGAGAGGAUGAUCAGCCACACUGGAACUGAGACACGGUCCAGACUCCUACGGGAGGCAGCAGUGGGGAAUAUUGGACAAUGGGCGCAAGCCUGAUCCAGCCAUACUGCGUGGGUGAAGAAGGCCUUCGGGUUGUAAAGCCCUUUUGUUGGGAAAGAAAUCCAGCUGGCUAAUACCCGGUUGGGAUGACGGUACCCAAAGAAUAAGCACCGGCUAACUUCGUGCCAGCCGCCGCAGUAA